CGACUCUGCUGUUGCCCAGGCUGGAGUGCAGUGGCGCAAUCUCAGCUCAGUGCAGUCUCCGCCUCCCAGGUUCAAGCGAUUCUCCUGCCUUAGCCUCCCAAAUAGCUGGGACUAAAGGUGCGUGCCACCACACCCAGCUAAUUUUUGUAUUUUUUGGUAGAGACAAGGUUUCACCAUGUUGGCUAGGUUGGUCUCGAACUCCUGGCCUCAAGUGAUCUGCCUGCCUCGGCCUCCCAAAGUGCUGGGAUUACAGGCAUGAGCCACCGUGCCUGGCCAGAAAUUUAUUUCUUACAGUUCUGGAGGCUGAGAAGUCCCAGGUGGAGGGGCUGCGUCUGGUGAGUCUUUUUGCUGGUGGGGACUCUCUGCAGAGUCCUAAGGCUGUGCAGGGCAUCACAUGGUGAGGGGGCUAAGCUUGCUUACAUUGGUAGCUCAGGUCUCUCUUCCUCUUCUUAUACAGCCACCAGUUGUCCUCCCAUGAUAACCCAUUAAUCCAUUAACUCACCAACCCAUAAUCCAUGAAUGGAUUAAUCCAUUCACGAGGGCAGAGUCCUCAUGAUCCAAUCACCUCAUAAAAGCCCUGCCUCUCAAUACAGCCACAUUGGGGAUUACGUUUCAGUAUGAGUUUUGGAGAAGACUUUCAAAUGUCCAUUCUAUUCAGCCAGUAUUUAUUGAGCACAUACUUAGUGCCAGGCAGGCACUGUGUUAGGGCCUAGAGAUACAAUGGAGAACAAAAGACACAGUAUUUGCCCUCCUGGAGUUUUCAUUUCAACUCCUCGCCUGUUGUACCUUUUUUUUUUUUUUUUUUUUUUCUGAGACAGAGUCUCGCUCUGUUGCCCAGGCUGGAGUGCAGUGGUGCGAUCUCGGCUCACUGCAACCCUCACCUCCUGGGCUCAAGCGUUUCUCCUGCCUCAGCCUCCCGAGUAGCUGGGAUUACAGGCGCCUGCCACUGCACCUGGCUAAUUUUUUGUCUUUUUAGUAGAGAUGGGCUUUUGCCAUGUUGGCCAGGCUGGUCUUGAAAUCCUGAUCUCAGGUGAUCCGCUCACCUUGGCCCUCAAAAGUGCUAGGAUUAUAGGUGUGAGCCACCGUGCCUGGCCUUGUUGUACCUUUAAACCAUGUCUUGGUUGGGCACAGUGGCUUGCAACUCUAAUCCUAGCACCUUGGGAGGCUGAGGUGGGAGGACUGCUUGAGGCUAUGAGUUCAAGACAAGCCUGGGCAACAUAGUGAGACGCUGUCUCUAAAAAAACAAAAAGGAAAUUAGCUAGGUGUAGUGGCACAUACCUGUAGUCCCAGCUACUUGGGAGGCUGAGGCAGGAGGAUCGCUUGAGCCUGGGAGUUUGAGGCUGCAGGGAGCUGUGAUCCUGCCACUACACUCUAGCCUGACAGAGUGAAACCCUGUCUUGGGGAAGAAAAAAAAUAUAUACACACACACACACACACACACACACGCAUACACACACACAUGCAUGCACACACACACACACCGUAUUGUUCUUUACCUAUUCAUUUGCUCAGCAGCAUGAAAUAUUAUACAUAUUACGUAUAUACCAGUCAUUUACUGAACACCUAUUAUGUAUUAUAGAUGAAACAUACUUUAUCUAGAUAUAUAAAGCAUGCAUAUGCAUGUGUGUGUUAAGACUACAUAAAACAAGCGUUUAUUGAAUGCCAACUAUAUGCUACAAAUAAACAUGUUUGUAUGUAUAAAACAUGCAUAUACAGUAUAUACAUAUAUGUAUAUUCACGUGUUUAUGGAGCACCUACUUGGUGCCCACACUGUGCUGGGCACCAGGGAGAGCACAGCCUAGUAGAAGAGAUGGAGAAGAAAACUGUGCCUUCAUAGAUGGGGAAGUGCUCUAAAACUGAGGACAAGUUGGAGAGGUGGCCCUCUUACUGCCUCGGAAAGUCAACGAUGUGAAAUAAGAAAGGGCACAUAUAUACACCAUGGAAUACUAUGCAGCCAUAAAAAUGAUGAGUUCAUGUCCUUUGUAGGGACAUGGAUGAAGCUGGAAACCAUCAUUCUCAGCAAACUAUCGCAAGGACAAGAAACCAAACACCUCAUGUUCUCACUCAUAGGUGGGAGUUGAACACUGAGAACACAUGGACACAAGAAGGGGAACAUCACACACCGGGGCCUG
rnacentral:lncRNA from 1 species